GUCAGGACAGGCAGCACAGGUUCACAGACUAUUGAAAUAGCGGAGAGUCAGAUAAAUCAGACAAGGCAGGAUAGGUACACUAAACACCACAGUAAGCACAGUAUAACUGAGCACUGGGGACAUGUUGGUAUGGAGUUUUAGCGUAGAAGUUUACACCCUGCAUUUGACUCCCGAAUGAGGACCAUCCUGGUACCUCAUAAGAACGUUCUCACCUCGUAACUUAAGUGCGAAACGACAAGGAAAUAAUGAAUUCUCUCCUGGGUGGCCACGAUUUCAUAUAACCGAACGCACAUGGUCGGCAAAAGAGUGGUGGCCAUUUUGUC